rnacentral:tRNA from 2 species
GGAGAAGCGGCAACGAUUGGCGGUGUUGCGGCAGACUGUAAAUCUGUUCCCAAGUGGUAAACAAUAGAGGUUCGAUUCCUCUCUUCCCCA